UUUGUACGCUGGCGGCAGGCCUAACACAUGCAAGUCGAACGGUAGCACAGAGAGCUUGCUCUCGGGUGACGAGUGGCGGACGGGUGAGUAAUGUCUGGGAAACUGCCUGAUGGAGGGGGAUAACUACUGGAAACGGUAGCUAAUACCGCAUAAUGUCGCAAGACCAAAGAGGGGGACCUUCGGGCCUCUUGCCAUCAGAUGUGCCCAGAUGGGAUUAGCUAGUAGGUGGGGUAACGGCUCACCUAGGCGACGAUCCCUAGCUGGUCUGAGAGGAUGACCAGCCACACUGGAACUGAGACACGGUCCAGACUCCUACGGGAGGCAGCAGUGGGGAAUAUUGCACAAUGGGCGCAAGCCUGAUGCAGCCAUGCCGCGUGUAUGAAGAAGGCCUUCGGGUUGUAAAGUACUUUCAGCGGGGAGGAAGGUGUUGUGGUUAAUAACCGCAGCAAUUGACGUUACCCGCAGAAGAAGCACCGGCUAACUCCGUGCCAGCAGCCGCGGUAAUACGGAGGGUGCAAGCGUUAAUCGGAAUUACUGGGCGUAAAGCGCACGCAGGCGGUCUGUCAAGUCGGAUGUGAAAUCCCCGGGCUCAACCUGGGAACUGCAUUCGAAACUGGCAGGCUGGAGUCUUGUAGAGGGGGGUAGAAUUCCAGGUGUACCGGUGAAAUGCGUAAAGAUCUGGAGGAAUACCGGUGGCGAAAGCGGCCCCUGGACAAAGACUGACGCUCAGGUGCGAAAGCGUGGGGAGCAACAGAAUAAAUACCCUGGUUAGUCCACGCCGUAACGAUGUCAUUUGGAGGUUGUGCCUUGAGGCUGGCCUCCGGACUACGCGUUAAUCCACCGCCUGGGAU
rnacentral:rRNA from 1 species